rnacentral:rRNA from 1 species
GGCGUGCCUAAUACAUGCAAGUCGAGCGAACGGACGAGAAGCUUGCUUCUCUGAUGUUAGCGGCGGACGGGUGAGUAACACGUGGAUAACCUACCUAUAAGACUGGGAUAACUUCGGGAAACCGGAGCUAAUACCGGAUAAUAUUUUGAACCGCAUGGUUCAAAAGUGAAAGACGGUCUUGCUGUCACUUAUAGAUGGAUCCGCGCUGCAUUAGCUAGUUGGUAAGGUAACGGCUUACCAAGGCAACGAUGCAUAGCCGACCUGAGAGGGUGAUCGGCCACACUGGAACUGAGACACGGUCCAGACUCCUACGGGAGGCAGCAGUAGGGAAUCUUCCGCAAUGGGCGAAAGCCUGACGGAGCAACGCCGCGUGAGUGAUGAAGGUCUUCGGAUCGUAAAACUCUGUUAUUAGGGAAGAACAUAUGUGUAAGUAACUGUGCACAUCUUGACGGUACCUAAUCAGAAAGCCACGGCUAACUACGUGCCAGCAGCCGCGGUAAUACGUAGGUGGCAAGCGUUAUCCGGAAUUAUUGGGCGUAAAGCGCGCGUAGGCGGUUUUUUAAGUCUGAUGUGAAAGCCCACGGCUCAACCGUGGAGGGUCAUUGGAAACUGGAAAACUUGAGUGCAGAAGAGGAAAGUGGAAUUCCAUGUGUAGCGGUGAAAUGCGCAGAGAUAUGGAGGAACACCAGUGGCGAAGGCGACUUUCUGGUCUGUAACUGACGCUGAUGUGCGAAAGCGUGGGGAUCAAACAGGAUUAGAUACCCUGGUAGUCCACGCCGUAAACGAUGAGUGCUAAGUGUUAGGGGGUUUCCGCCCCUUAGUGCUGCAGCUAACGCAUUAAGCACUCCGCCUGGGGAGUACGACCGCAAGGUUGAAACUCAAAGGAAUUGACGGGGACCCGCACAAGCGGUGGAGCAUGUGGUUCAAUUCGAAGCAACGCGAAGAACCGUACCAAAGCAUGACAGCCGGCGACAGCUCUAGAGAUAGAGCCUUCCCCAGCGGUGUACAACGGGACAGACGGCGCAUGGUCGUCGUCAGCUCGUGUCGUGAGAUGUCGGGUCAAGUCCCGCACCAAGCGCAAACCCGAAGCUCAGUCGCAAUCAUCAGGUUGGGCACUCUACGUGGACUGCCGGUGACAAUCCCGAAGAAGCUGCGUACGACGUCACAUCAUCAUGCCGAUUAUGAUUUGGCCUAC